ensembl:snoRNA small nucleolar RNA SNORA26
AUAUCCUGUUAUACAUAAUCAUUAAUAAUGAACUACACUAACACAGAAGGGUAAACCAAGUCUUUAUAAAACCCAGAAAAGAGAUGGUAAAACUCCUCUUUGGACCCUGUCUGGAGUCACAGUU